GGGCCCGCACAAGCGGUGGAGCAUGUGGUUCAAUUCGACGCAACGCGCAGAACCUUACCAGCCCUUGACAUGGGACUCGCCGGGAGCAGAGACGCUCCCUUCGGUUCGGCCGGAGUCCGCACAGGUGCUGCAUGGCUGUCGUCAGCUCGUGUCGUGAGAUGUUGGGUUAAGUCCCGCAACGAGCGCAACCCUCGUCUCCAGUUGCCAUCAGGUUAUGCUGGGCACUUUGGAGAAACUGCCGGUGACAAGCCGGAGGAAGGUGGGGAUGACGUCAAGUCCUCAUGGCCCUUACGGGCUGGGCUACACACGUGCUACAAUGGCGGUGACAAUGGGAUGCGAUGGCGCGAGCCGGAGCCGAUCCUAAAAAACCGUCUCAGUUCGGAUUGCACUCUGCAACUCGAGUGCAUGAAGUUGGAAUCGCUAGUAAUCGAGGAUCAGCAUGCCUCGGUGAAUACGUUCCCGGGCCUU
rnacentral:rRNA from 1 species